UACAGAGGUCUCAAGCGUUGUUCGGAUUCAUUGGGCGUAAAGGGUGCGUAGGCGGCGCGGUAAGUCGGGUGUGAAAUCUUGGAGCUUAACUCCGAAACUGCAUUCGAUACUGCCGUGCUUGAGGACUGGAGAGGAGACUGGAAUUUACGGUGUAGCGGUGAAAUGCGUAGAUAUCCGGAGGAACACCGAAGGCGAAGGCAGUGUCCUGGGGGAGCACCUGACGCUCAGAUGCGAAAGCCAGGGGAGCGGAACGGG
rnacentral:rRNA from 1 species